GGGUUGUGAGGUUAAGCGACUAAGCGUACACGGUGGAUGCCCUGGCAGUCAGAGGCGAUGAAGGACGUGCUAAUCUGCGAUAAGCGCCGGUAAGGUGAUAUGAACCGUUAUAACCGGCGAUUUCCGAAUGGGGAAACCCAGUGUGACUCGUCACACUAUCAUUAACUGAAUCCAUAGGUUAAUGAGGCGAACCGGGGGAACUGAAACAUCUAAGUACCCCGAGGAAAAGAAAUCAACCGAGAUUCCCCCAGUAGCGGCGAGCGAACGGGGAGGAGCCCAGAGCCUGAAUCAGCAUGUGUGUUAGUGGAAGCGUCUGGAAAGGCGCGCGAUACAGGGUGACAGCCCCGUACACAAAAGCGCAUGUGCUGUGAGCUCGAUGAGUAGGGCGGGACACGUGGUAUCCUGUCUGAAUAUGGGGGGACCAUCCUCCAAGGCUAAAUACUCCUGACUGACCGAUAGUGAACCAGUACCGUGAGGGAAAGGCGAAAAGAACCCCGGCGAGGGGAGUGAAAAAGAACCUGAAACCGUGUACGUACAAGCAGUGGGAGCACCCUUUGGGGUGUGACUGCGUACCUUUUGUAUAAUGGGUCAGCGACUUAUAUUCUGUAGCAAGGUUAACCGAAUAGGGGAGCCGGAGGGAAACCGAGUCUUAAUUGGGCGUUAAGUUGCAGGGUAUAGACCCGAAACCCGGUGAUCUAGCCAUGGGCAGGUUGAAGGUUGGGUAACACUAACUGGAGGACCGAACCGACUAAUGUUGAAAAAUUAGCGGAUGACCUGUGGCUGGGGGUGAAAGGCCAAUCAAACCGGGAGAUAGCUGGUUCUCCCCGAAAGCUAUUUAGGUAGC
rnacentral:rRNA from 1 species